rnacentral:rRNA from 1 species
GUACGACGGAGCACGUGAAAUUCCGUCGGAAUCUGGGAGGACCAUCUCCUAAGGCUAAAUACUCUCUAGUGACCGAUAGUGAACCAGUACCGUGAGGGAAAGGUGAAAAGCACCCCGGAAGGGGAGUGAAAUAGAACCUGAAACCGUGUGCUUACAAGUAGUCAGAGCCCGUUAAUGGGUGAUGGCGUGCCUUUUGUAGAAUGAACCGGCGAGUUACGAUUUGAUGCAAGGUUAAGCAGUAAAUGUGGAGCCGUAGCGAAAGCGAGUCUGAAUAGGGCGUUUAGUAUUUGGUCGUAGACCCGAAACCAGGUGAUCUACCCUUGGUCAGGUUGAAGUUCAGGUAACACUGAAUGGAGGACCGAACCGACUUACGUUGAAAAGUGAGCGGAUGAACUGAGGGUAGCGGAGAAAUUCCAAUCGAACCUGGAGAUAGCUGGUUCUCUCCGAAAUAGCUUUAGGGCUAGCCUCAAGUGAUGAUUAUUGGAGGUAGAGCACUGUUUGGACGAGGGGCCCCUCUCGGGUUACCGAAUUCAGACAAACUCCGAAUGCCAAUUAAUUUAACUUGGGAGUCAGAACAUGGGUGAUAAGGUCCGUGUUCGAAAGGGAAACAGCCCAGACCACCAGCUAAGGUCCCAAAAUAUAUGUUAAGUGGAAAAGGAUGUGGCGUUGCCCAGACAACUAGGAUGUUGGCUUAGAAGCAGCCAUCAUUUAAAGAGUGCGUAAUAGCUCACUAGUCGAGUGACACUGCGCCGAAAAUGUACCGGGGCUAAACAUAUUACCGAAGCUGUGGAUUGUCCUUUGGACAAUGGUAGGAGAGCGUUCUAAGGGCGUUGAAGCAUGAUCGUAAGGACAUGUGGAGCGCUUAGAAGUGAGAAUGCCGGUGUGAGUAGCGAAAGACGGGUGAGAAUCCCGUCCACCGAUUGACUAAGGUUUCCAGAGGAAGGCUCGUCCGCUCUGGGUUAGUCGGGUCCUAAGCUGAGGCCGACAGGCGUAGGCGAUGGAUAACAGGUUGAUAUUCCUGUACCACCUAUAAUCGUUUUAAUCGAUGGGGGGAC